rnacentral:rRNA from 1 species
UACGGAGGGUGCGAGCGUUGUCCGGAAUCACUGGGCGUAAAGGGCGCGUAGGCGGCGCGGGUAGUCAUCGGUGAAAGUUCAGGGCUCAACUCUGAAUCGGCCGGUGAUACUCCCGUGCUCGAGCACUGUAGAGGCAGGUGGAAUUCCGGGUGUAGCGGUGGAAUGCGUAGAGAUCGGGAAGAACAUCGGUGGCGAAGGCGGCCUGCUGGGCUGUUGCUGACGCUGAGGCGCGACAGCGUGGGGAGCAAACAGG